GGCUUACCAAGGCGAUGAUGCAUAGCCGAGUUGAGAGACUGAUCGGCCACAAUGGAACUGAGACACGGUCCAUACUCCUACGGGAGGCAGCAGUAGGGAAUCUUCCACAAUGGGCGCAAGCCUGAUGGAGCAACACCGCGUGAGUGAAGAAGGGUUUCGGCUCGUAAAGCUCUGUUGUUGGAGAAGAACGUGCGUGAGAGUAACUGUUCACGCAGUGACGGUAUCCAACCAGAAAGUCACGGCUAACUACGUGCCAGCAGCCGCGGUAAUACGUAGGUGGCAAGCGUUAUCCGGAUUUAUUGGGCGUAAAGCGAGCGCAGGCGGUUGCUUAGGUCUGAUGUGAAAGCCUUCGGCUUAACCGAAGAAGUGCAUCGGAAACCGGGCGACUUGAGUGCAGAAGAGGACAGUGGAACUCCAUGUGUAGCGGUGGAAUGCGUAGAUAUAUGGAAGAACACCAGUGGCGAAGGCGGCUGUCUGGUCUGCAACUGACGCUGAGGCUCGAAAGCAUGGGUAGCGAACAGGAUUAGAUACCCUGGUAGUCCAUGCCGUA
rnacentral:rRNA from 2 species